CCUACGGGAGGCAGCAGUGGGGAAUAUUGCACAAUGGGGGAAACCCUGAUGCAGCGACGCCGCGUGAGUGAAGAAGUAAUUCGUUAUGUAAAGCUCUAUUAGCAGGGAAGAAAAUGACGGUACCUGAGUAAGAAGCCCCGGCUACCUACGUGUCAGCAGCCGCGGGAAUACGUAGGGGGCAAGAGUUAUCCGGAUUUACUGGGGGUAAAGGGAGCGUAGACGGCAGUGCAAGUCUGGAGUGAAAGGCGGGGGCUCAACCCCCGGACUGCUCUGGAAACUGUACGGCUGGAGUGCAGUAGAGGUAAGUGGAAUUCCUAGGGUAGCGGUGAAAUGCGUAGAUAUUAGGAGGAACACCAGUGGCGAAGGCGGCUUACUGGACUGUAACUGACGUUGAGGCUCGAAAGCGUGGGGAGCAAACAGGAUUAGAUACCCUGGUAGUC
rnacentral:rRNA from 1 species